CGCAGGCCGUUGCGUGGUGUGGCUUCACAAGCUCCAUUUCAAGCCUUCGUACUUUGCCAUUAUCGUCUUGCGUCUCCUGUCUUCUACUCCCUCACCCGCUCUCUCUCUCACAUAUGUUGUACGGUUCCUCUUGCCACGAGGACAGCUUCCUCGAUGCCAUCCUCGAUGAGCUCACGGUAAAUCCAUACAGUGACCUCCCCACGGUGCUCGCACGCGUGGAGCGUGUGCAGACGGCAGAAUCAAAUGUGGAGCGAAUGAGGCAGCGCAAGGCAGAGCAGCAGCAGGAGCGCGCGGCCCGCCUGCGGAACGAGUGGGCGUCCGCGACGAGGCAUCAGAGCCCCGCGUCAAGAGCUGACUCGCAGCAAUCCCUAUCACUGGAGGCCCUCACUGCGAGUUCGUCAGCGUACUUGGACAGCCUCGCUCGCGCCGCAGAUCGCGAGCCCAUCGCAUCGCUGCGAGGUGCUCCAAGCACGUCGGGACCGCCUCCCUUAUGCGCGCCGGCAAAGCUUGCUGCCGAGGCACUGUCGCCUCUCACCUCGGCCCUCUCCCUCCCCCACUUUCGCGAUGAGCACGCGUCGAGUGCGCUGCGCAGCGCGUACGUUCACCUGCUUCCGUACAUACUUGCUGUGGUGGCUCCUCCGGCUACACGCUCUACCUCACUGGCCCUUGCCACCUCUUCCACCACCGUAGCAGUCGCAGCAGGCGGUGGGUCUGCGCCAGUGCUGCCAUGGUAUGCGGUGCACACCGGCGACAGCGCCGUCCGUGAACUGCUCUCCCCGUACAUGAGCUCUGUCGUGGGACCUCUGGAAAAAGAGCUGCGCUUCCACUUUAGCGCGGGGUGUGACACGGCAGCCGUUCACGAACCGCAGCACUUCUUCUCUUUUCUGAUCGAGUGCUUCCAGCGGCAGCAGCGCAUCGUGUCGGAGCAGUGGGCGACGUCAAGGUUGCAAGACAGCGAGAGCGACGCUGCCCUCCGUCUUCUAGAGUCGGUGAGCCAGGUAGUCCUCAGUGCCACGGCCGUGGUUGUGUUCCAGGAGUGUUACGGCUGGCGGCCUGAUUCGGCGCUGUCGCGCCACAAGGACUACGUUGCGGUCACCGUGAACGCCGUGCUGGACUUUGUAGCGUCUGCAGAGGGGCGCUUGUGCAGAGACUCGGUGCAGCUGCUCGUGGAACACCUACUGGCGGAGGAAGUGCUCCAGCUAUACGCCCAAUGUGGAGCGGACAUGGCGGUGACCGCACUGCGCGAUGGCGCGGCGCGGCUGUGGAGGCGGUCGUUCCUGAUGGAGGGGGCGGGCCGCGCAUCGUUCCCGCUUUACACGUGCAGUUUGCACUUGGUGCGCUCGCUCGAGGCGUUUCAGCGGCGUCUUCUCAACUCGCUACUUCUCCUGCGCGGCUCGUGGGCGGAACUGGUGUGGCGCAGAUGUGUGGAGCCGGCGCUUUUGGCCUUCCUGGGGAUUGUGGAGAAUCAAGCACUGCCGGCUGUGGCGGACACGGCCGCAGCUUCCUGGGAGUCUGUCCUGUUCCUCCAGUGGUGUGUGGCGAGUGUGCAGGUUGUGGCAGCCGCAGCAGAGGACUGGCUUGGGAUGCUGCGGGAAAGCUGCGCCGCCACGGCCAGCACCGCCUCCUCACCUUCCUCUCUCAGUAAGUCAGAGACACUGGAUGCGCUGAUGCUGUUUCGCGAUCAACUUGCUCGCCGCUCGGCCGAGCACGCACGGCUCCUAACACUUCAACUCUGCACACCCCAGCCCGGGGAUGCAGCGCAGGCUGCGCGGCUGCUGCACGGUGCCGAGGAGUUCUUCAAGCUCAUGGGAGAACUGCCCGAUAGCACGUCGGCCCCCUACAUUGUGCAGGAUUUGGUGCAGGGUGUCCUGCAGAAGAACCUCUCGCCGGAGCACAAGACUGAGUUGCUGUCGUACACAAGGGGAUGUGGGCUGCAGCACUUUGCCCAGCUGCUUGUCGCGUGAGUCUUCUUCUGUCGCACGUGAAGACGGAUGGAUGCGUUGCGCGGGACGCGAUGUGAGCACCCUCGUCGUCCUUAUCGCCCUCCGGCUUCGUCUUUUCGUGUGCAGGCACGCACGUCUUGGUGCUCCGCACUUCGCUGCGCAUCGUAGCGGUGCCGCCGUCGCCCCUCCUCCCGUACAAAACACGCAGAAUCGACACAGCAGCAAAAAAAAAAGGACUUAGCGGAUUGCGUGUGGCGUGCGUGUCAGCGCUGCUGUCAGUGGAGGGCUGCGACUCGACGACGCAUGUACGAUGUCUACCCGUGCCCGACAUUGAAAUCAAGCUUGGGUGCACGUAAAGAUGGCGUAUGAGGCGGUGAGGGCGCUGUUUGAUGUGGCGGUGCCUUGCUCCGGUCCGAGGUCUCUCCGGGAUGACAAGGACAUAGAACAGCUGCGGUGGCGUGGGGACUUUCGCGUUCCCACCCCGCCCUUCUCCCUCCCACUGUCGUCUCUACUGCUCAUCAGGGCGCACGAGUCACCGUGUUUGCGAGUGCGUGUCUUGUGGUGUUGGGCUAGCAGGUUCGGAGUCGUGUUGCCAUCCUUGCUUGGCACCUCAGUCAUCGCUCGACCGCUACUUUGUAGCGAAACACUCAGCUUACCGCAGCCGCCUCUCUCUCGUCUUUUUUUCGCGGUAACGCCCUGCACCUUCUCUGCAUCCGCGAGCGAGGAAAGAAAAGUGGAGCGAGCCGUUCAGCGUCGUGCGCGCCUGAGCACUCACACUCCCUCUCUCUAGCGCCACCACCGUCACACCCAUCUCUGCCUCUCUGCCCCUAUUGCAGCAGCAGCAGCUGCUGCUACUGCUGCUACGACGCUGAGCCCCACCAGGAACACGUUCGAAGUAAAUACGCACACGCGGAACUCGCUCGCGCAUAUCUGAAGCGAUAGACGGGGGUGAGCGUAUGUGCCGAGAAGGCUUGUGCGCAGCGCUCUUUCCACCGUCUCGUACUCUUCAGCAAGACGAAGGCGGUCGGCAGAGCUAUCGAGAGCCAUGCACCGCCGCAUGAGUGCCCGCCCCGACUCCUCGAACUUGUUCCGGUAUAUCUGCCCCCGGCGCUGGCCGUGCUGCAGUUUCUUAUUUUUUUUUUUGUGCUCGUGGCGACGCCGUUGGACGUGCUCUAGCCACGCAAUUACACCGGCUUCGAAAGCUGAGCAUCUAUGCUCGGCUGGAAGAAAAUGUGCGGGACGCACGCCGUGAUGUCGGGCUUCAAGUUCGGCAUCACGGCAGCCAUGGGUGGCGCCGCUGCCUUCGCCGUCAUCUCCAUCUUUGUGGCCGUCGUUUGCGUUCAUUCUGCUCGUCCUGAGCGCCUUUGGCGUCUUCAAGAAGCCGUUGGUGGCACUCGAUGUCGACGGCGUGGCGUGUCUCACCAUUCUCAUUUCCUGGGGCCGUUUAUCAGAUGCGUACAAUCAGGGCACGUGCGUUAAACUGCCUCACGGGAGUGCCGGCCACAGCUACGACUAUGCUGCGUCGUUUGGACUCAUGGUGACGGCCUGGAUGUUUGAGGUGGCUGCGAUUGCCGGCUUCUUCUUUCUCAUGAAGACGUGGCGAAGGGGAAGGGGUGGGGAGGCGGAGUGAUGGGGCUGCCACAGAGUGACGGAGGGACGUGAGGGAGAGGUAUUCCUGCAGAGAUGUAUCUUACCUCACCCGUUCCGUGACGCCACUACGCCGCUGAAUGUGGCAUCCCUUGUGGACGACUGGCGGCGAGGCAACUGUGACACAUGCAUCUGGUCUUGGCGUUGCCCGGUGUGAGCGUCGGCGUGCGCAGGUGACGCGAUGCCGUCAUCCCUACUCAUGAGUGCAUCAAUGACGGCGGAUGCGUCUCUCUCCAUUGGCGCCUCCGCAUCUACCUAUCAACGUGCACCUGAACCCGAGUGUCUUACUCUCUUGUGCGCCGCUCUCUCCGUGGGAGAGCGUCGCGACUUCUGUGAGAAUGCGUCAGCGGGUGUGUUUUCCUCCCUCACGGCCCCCCUCCUUUUCCUAUCACGGCGUCGGUUUCGGAUGCUUGGAGUGGGCGCUUGUGACACUAUCCGCUCUCUUUUUCUUUUCUUUCUGCAUUGCCUCGUACGAUGCGACGACUUCGCUGAGCCUGCAUGAGGCUUCAGCAACGUGUCCUCCACAAACGGCUCACAACUCUCACCCUCCAAUAACCGCCUUACCCACCUCGCAUGGAGGUGCACGUGUGUAAC
rnacentral:misc_RNA from 1 species